GCUGAUUUCUGCUUCUUUUCUCGUCCCUUUGGAUGGAACACUCUCCAUCAACUCUAUCUUGAAUUUUCACUUUGAGAUGAAUUACAUCCUCCUCUUUCCUCUCCAAAACAGCUGACAUCCAUGAAAUGCCUAUGAUUUAAUUCCAGAAAGUUAAAUGAAGAAUCAGAUAAAAUGAUGAGAUCAAUAUUUCUUUACACCCAAUUAUCAAAAAGAACAAGAACAAAGUUUAGAAUAUUGUAGUUUUCCAAAACCCAUUUUUUGGGUGUUCGCAUAUCACCAAGAUUAUCUUUAGAUACCUUGUUUUACCAUAUCAGAAAUUUAAAGCUCAACUUUCAAGAAUGAUACAUAUGGUAAUGAUACAAAUUCAAAGAAUAAAGGAACAUACAUACAACAGAAGCAAAUUAUUGCAAGAAGGAGAGGGACCGUCAUCGUGUGAGAGGUGGGACUGCCAAGGCUGCUGAGCCAACGUAGCUAAUAUUAACUUCUUGAGGAAGAAGAUGAUAUUUUAUACCAAGUUCUUCAAAAAGUUUUUUCAUCUCUAAUACUAGAUCAGAUCUUCUGUUGCCCCUAUCUCCAGAAUUCUGGAAGUUUAUCGUGUGAUUAACAUAGAGAGCCAUUUUCAUCUUGUUCAUAUUUUCAAUCUCUUUAACCUGCACACUGUGGCCUGGACGCCAGUGCUGAGGCUUACUCUCCAAGUACGCUUUUAUCCUAGCUUUCAGAAUUCCAAUAGUCUCAAUUGAAGUGGAAACAUCAACAGUGAAUUCCACAGAAUCACUCAUUUCUGGGCUCCUGUAGAAGUUACUGAUUGGUUUGGUAGCUAGAACUGAAUUUGGAUAGAAUAUUUUCUCAUUGUCGUAUCUCAAAAAUACUGUUGUCAAAAUAUUCAUCUCUUCAACAACCAUCUGUACUCCAUCAAUGACACAACGAUCACCAACAUCGAAUGGAUGCAUCACGAACACAAAUAUAAUGGCUUCAAAUACUGUCUUGGCAGUGUUACCAAACAUG
rnacentral:misc_RNA from 1 species